rnacentral:rRNA from 1 species
GACGAACGCUGGCGGCGUGCUUAACACAUGCAAGUCGAGCGGUAAGGCCUUUCGGGGUACCCGAGCGGCGAACGGGUGAGUAACACGUGGGUGAUCUGCCCUGCACUUCGGGAUAAGCCUGGGAAACUGGGUCUAAUACCGGAUAUGACCUCCUAUCGCAUGGUGGGUGGGGGAAAGAUUUAUCGGUGCAGGAUGGGCCCGCGGCCUAUCAGCUUGUUGGUGGGGUAAUGGCCUACCAAGGCGACGACGGGUAGCCGACCUGAGAGGGUGACCGGCCACACUGGGACUGAGACACGGCCCAGACUCCUACGGGAGGCAGCAGUGGGGAAUAUUGCACAGUGGGCGAAAGCCUGAUGCAGCGACGCCGCGUGAGGGAUGACGGCCUUCGGGUUGUAAACCUCUUUCAGCAGGGACGAAGCGCAAGUGACGGUACCUGCAGAAGAAGCACCGGCUAACUACGUG